rnacentral:sRNA from 1 species
ACCUGCGCCCCUUCUCCCGCGCUGGUGGCUGGGGCUUCUCAGCCUCUAUUUUCUGGCUGUCCCCUUUGUUUGAAGCUCCAGUGAGGGAGCAGUGGCUGGGGUGGCCCAGCUUCAAAGUCUCUGUCCUCUUGAAAAUAGGUGGUCGGGGGACAUUGACCCACCAGCCCCGCAGGCUACUGCCUGCAAACAAGAACCCCUCAUCUGCCACGCACGUUCUUAAUGUAUCUAUAGUCCGCUUGAUGCCACAAAGGAGUCCAGGUGGUAACUUCCAAGAGUGACUCCGUGGGAGGAAAAUGACUGCCCAGUCGCUGCUGCAGAUGACGCUGUUCCUGCUGAGUCUGCUCUUCCUGGUCCAAGCCAGCGGAACCAGACACACAAGAGCAGCCUCCACUACAAAGCCACGCAAGACCUGCGCAUCUCCAUCGAGAACUCCGAGGAGGCCCUCACAGUCCAUGCCCCCUUCCCUGCGGCCCACCCUGCUUCUCGAUCCUUCCCUGACCCCAGGGGCCUCUACCACUUCUGCCUCUACUGGAACCGACAUGCUGGGAGAUUGCAUCUUCUCUAUGGCAAGCAUGACUUCUUGCUGAGUGACAACGCCUCUAGCCUCCUCUGCUUCCAGCACCGGGAGGAGAGCCUGGUCCAGGGCCCCCUGCUGUUCGCCACUUCUGUCACCUCCUGGUGGAGCCCUCAGAACAUCAGCCUGCCCAGUGCCGCCAACUU